CCGUGCUAGAUGGGGAAUUAGCGGUGCCCUGUAACCUGCAAUCCGCUGUAGCAGGGUUGAUGCUGAUAUUAGAUUAUCACCAAUGAUUUUGAGAGAAUAGAAUGGUGAUGAGGUUCUGGACUACAGCAAUGAAUGAUGGAUUAACCCCGUCAGGCCUGGAAAGGAGCAGCGGUAUGUCUUUUUUAUUUGUGUGUUGUUAGACCCCAGAGCUGAGCUAUUUUGGUUCUUGGAAUAAAUUAUUACAGGAAUUUUCAAGUAUUAGUGCACGG
rnacentral:SRP_RNA from 1 species